GCCUGGGUGGCUCAGCGGUGGAGCAUCUGCCUUUGGCUCAGAGAGUGAUCCAGGGAUCAAGUCCCUCAUCGGGCU
rnacentral:tRNA from 1 species